rnacentral:rRNA from 1 species
AAAGCGAGUCUGAAUAGGGCGCAUAAGUAACAGGUCGUAGACCCGAAACCAGGUGAUCUACCCAUGUCCAGGAUGAAGGUAAGGUAAUACUUACUGGAGGUCCGAACCCACGCACGUUGAAAAGUGCGGGGAUGAGGUGUGGGUAGCGGAGAAAUUCCAAUCGAACUUGGAGAUAGCUGGUUCUCUCCGAAAUAGCUUUAGGGCUAGCCUCGAGGUAAAGAGUCAUGGAGGUAGAGCACUGUUUGGACUAGGGGCCCUUCUCGGGUUACCGAAUUCAGAUAAACUCCGAAUGCCAUGUACUUAUACUCGGGAGUCAGACUGCGAGUGAUAAGAUCCGUAGUCGAAAGGGAAACAGCCCAGACCACCAGUUAAGGUCCCCAAAUAUAUGUUAAGUGGAAAAGGAUGUGGGGUUGCUUAGACAACCAGGAUGUUGGCUUAGAAGCAGCCACCAUUGAAAGAGUGCGUAAUAGCUCACUGGUCGAGUGACCCCGCGCCGAAAAUGUACCGGGGCUAAACAUAUUACCGAAACUGUGGAUGAACCUCAUUAGAGGUUCGUGGUAGGAGAGCGUUCUAAGGGCGGUGAAGUCAGACCGGAAGGACUGGUGGAGCGCUUAGAAGUGAGAAUGCCGGUAUGAGUAGCGAAAGAAGGGUGAGAAUCCCUUCCACCGAAUAUCUAAGGUUUCCUGAGGAAGGCUCGUCCGCUCAGGGUUAGUCGGGACCUAAGCCGAGGCCGAUAGGCGUAGGCGAUGGACAACAGGUAGAGAUUCCUGUACCAGUGCUAAUUGUUUAACCGAUGGGGUGACACAGAAGGAUAGGGAAUCGCACGAAUGGAAAUGUGCGUCCAAGCAGUGAGUGUGAGAAGUAGGCAAAUCCGCUUCUCGCGAAGCAUGAGCUGUGAUGGGGAAGGAAAUUAAGUACGGAAGUUCCUGAUUUCACGCUGUCAAGAAAAGCCUCUAGGAAGAGUAGUACUGCCCGUACCGCAAACCGACACAGGUAGAUGAGGAGAGAAUCCUAAGGUGAGCGAGAGAACUCUCGUUAAGGAACUCGGCAAAAUGACCCCGUAACUUCGGGAGAAGGGGUGCUCUAUUAGGGUGCAAGCCCGAGAGAGCCGCAGUGAAUAGGCCCAGGCGACUGUUUAGCAAAAACACAGGUCUCUGCAAAACCGUAAGGUGACGUAUAGGGGCUGACGCCUGCCCGGUGCUGGAAGGUUAAGAGGAGUGCUUAGCUUCGGCGAAGGUACGAAUUGAAGCCCCAGUAAACGGCGGCCGUAACUAUAACGGUCCUAAGGUAGCGAAAUUCCUUGUCGGGUAAGUUCCGACCCGCACGAAAGGCGCAACGAUCUGGGCACUGUCUCAACGAGAGACUCGGUGAAAUUAUAGUACCUGUGAAGAUGCAGGUUACCCGCGACAGGACGGAAAGACCCCGUGGAGCUUUACUGCAACCUGAUAUGGAAUGUUUGUACCGCUUGUACAGGAUAGGUAGGAGCCGAAGAGACGUGUGCGCUAGCAUACGAGGAGGCAAUGGUGGGAUACUACCCUGGCUGUAUGACCAUUCUAACCCGCCACGCUUAGCGCGUGGGGAGACAGUGUCAGGUGGGCAGUUUGACUGGGGCGGUCGCCUCCUAAAGAGUAACGGAGGCGCCCAAAGGUUCCCUCAGAAUGGAUGGAAAUCAUUCGCAGAGUGUAAAGGCACAAGGGAGCUUGACUGCGAGACUGACAAGUCGAGCAGGGACGAAAGUCGGGCUUAGUGAUCCGGUGGUUCCGCAUGGAAGGGCCAUCGCUCAACGGAUAAAAGCUACCCCGGGGAUAACAGGCUUAUCUCCCCCAAGAGUCCACAUCGACGGGGAGGUUUGGCACCUCGAUGUCGGCUCGUCGCAUCCUGGGGCUGUAGUCGGUCCCAAGGGUUGGGCUGUUCGCCCAUUAAAGCGGCACGCGAGCUGGGUUCAGAACGUCGUGAGACAGUUCGGUCCCUAUCCGUCGCGGGCGCAGGAAAUUUGAGAGGAGCUGUCCUUAGUACGAGAGGACCGGGAUGGACACACCGCUGGUGUACCAGUUGUUCCGCCAGGAGCAUCGCUGGGUAGCUAUGUGUGGCAGGGAUAAACGCUGAAAGCAUCUAAGCGUGAAGCCCCCCUCAAGAUGAGAUUUCCCAUUUCUUCGGAAAGUAAGAUCCCUGAAAGAUGAUCAGGUAGAUAGGUUUGGA